UCUGAGCUUCACACUGGCCACAUGGAGCCAUAUGUCGGCCAUGUUGGCCAUACUGGGCCACAUGAGGGCCACGCUGAGCCAUAGAUUGGUCAAGUUGACCAUUCUGAGCUCCAUGUUGGCCACAUGGAGCCACACGUUGGCCAUACUGGACCAUGCUGAGCAACAGGUUGGUCAAGUUGACUGUGCUGAGCUCCGUGUUGGCCACAUGGAGCCAUACUGGGCCACGUAAGGGCCACGCUGAGCCACCAAUUGGCCAUGUUGACCACUCUGAGCUCCAUGUUGGCCACACCAGGCCACGUGAUGGACACAUUGGCCAUGCUGAGCCACUGAUUGGUCAAGUUGACUGCACUGAGCUCUGCGUUGGCCACAUGGAGCCACAUGCUGGCCAUACUGAG